UACAGAGGUCUCAAGCGUUGUUCGGAUUCAUUGGGCGUAAAGGGUGCGUAGGCGGCGAGGUAAGUCAGAUGUGAAAUCCCGGGGCUUAACCCCGGAACUGCAUUUGAUACUGCUUUGCUUGAGGACUGGAGAGGAGAUCGGAAUUCACGGUGUAGCAGUGAAAUGCGUAGAUAUCGUGAGGAAGGCCAGUGGCGAAGGCGGAUCUCUGGACAGUUCCUGACGCUGAGGCACGAAGGCUAGGGGAGCAAACAGG
rnacentral:rRNA from 1 species